AGAAAACUUUCCCCUUCCGCUCGAAGCGUUUUUUUCUUCUUUUUUUUCCUCGCGUCUAACCUCCACUACCCUACCGUAGACGCGCCUGCGCCUCGCAGACGCUCCGCCCGGAGGCGGCACCUCGCGGAUCCGCAUCCACCUCGCGUCUUCGUCGAGUUCAACGCCGAUGAGUUCUCCCUCACCGGCCGCCGCCCCUUCCCCAAACUCCUACUCGCUGGAUCAGCCGCAUCCACCACGGCCUCCCCCUCCUCUGCUCCCACUGCUCUCCUUGCCUCCCGUCUCCCCGAGCUGCGCGGGCGCCGAUCGCUUCCCCCCUGCCGGAUCCGGCCGUCGCGCCGCCGGGUCGCCUCUCCUUCCCGUCCUCUCCAACCUGCGUCCCUCCAAACUCAGAUCCGGAGGGCCACCUCAAACGCAUACCCGAAGGCCGGCGACGGCAGAAGCCAUGGUUAACUCCUCCCCGAAUCGUCUCUCCUCUCCCAAUUUCGCAUUGGAGUUCCCGAAGCUUGAUUGUAUUGGAGUUUCUCGCUGCACCGCCAUCCCCAAUGUCGGCCUCUCUCCUCUCCGAUCUCGUAUGCGCCCACCGCGGCCAGAGUAGUGCGCCGCCUACCUCCUCUCCCCCGGCAGCAUGGCGACAAGGACAACAGCAGGAGCUGCGCCACCACGAAGAUCGGGACGAAGUGAAGGGCGCUGGGCGAUGGAGGAGACGGGAGAUGCAGCCACGACCCUACCACUUGGUAAUUCCCAUCUCCGCUGGCUGCACUUGUUUCAGGUAGUACAAGAUACUCUUCUGUUUCUUCAGGUACUUGGGAAUAAAUAUCAAAGUAACCUACUCCUACGUAAUUUGAUUAAUCUUUGGUGAGUAGCUGAGAGUUCCAGUGUAUAAAAUUAUUGGCAUCGACCUAUCUGGAGUACGGAAAUAGACUGUGUUGUAAGUAGUUUUAGCAUACCAUUCUUAAUGUUAUUGCAAUUCAGUCCCUUCUCCCUUAAGACUAUGCAACAUCAUUAUGAAUGUUAUUUCCUUCAUUUAUCUUUUUUUACUGAUGUUCUGUUGCACCUCGAGUUGUGUCGCUGGAUCGAGGUCUCUCUUCAGUUCCCUAGAUCAGAUCGAGGAUUUGACGCAGGCCGGCGCCGUUUGCUACUGAUCCGGUGUGCCCAAAACCUGCCCAAAACGAUCCAGGAUUUGACCUUGAGGGUUGAUUGUAUGUUGAUCUGAGACAUUAGUUCAGAAACUGGGAUGAAUCUGUCCAUUGUAUGAAACUGGUCACAAUGUGAGAAUUAAAAUAUUACUCCCCCCGUUCCAUAAUUCUUGUCGAAAUCUUACAUGUAUCUAGACACUUUUUGGGAUUAGAUACAUCCAUUUUUGAGCAAAUUUGAGACAAGAAUUAUGAAAUGGAGGGGGUAGUAAAUAUCUUCCCAAAGAACCUAAGUUUGCUCAAUCUGACGAAUAAUGUGAAGACUGGAGCAAAAAUAAGGUGCUACUGUUCUGCAGUUCCUACAAUAAUUUUUGUUUUUCAUACUUUUGGUUAAGAUAAAUUUAUAAUUUGUCCCUGGUCGCAAUUAGUAGAGAAGUAGUAGAUGCUUACUUAAAGGGCUUGUUGAACAACACAGUACAUAUUAGGGUCGAUAGAGAAUCUUCUUGUCUAAAAUGUGAUUGACAACACAAUACAUAUUUACUAUUGCAUUUUUCUCAUGUUUAGGGUACUCGGUAGUUUUAGCGGCUUUUCAAUGUAGAGUUAGAGAUGAGGAAUCCCAUAUUAGAGGAGAUGAGAAUAUGACUGUUUUUACAUGUUGAUCAUAUAUAAUUAUGAGGAGAUCCUCUAAUGUACAUUCUCUAAUCACACAACUUCAAAUCACCACGAAAUAAUCUUAUAUGUAUUAUGAGCCGUUGCCAAGUCAUCAAUAACCUGUUGCUGAAUGUGUCAAUUUCAAAUGAUCGAUCGCCAUCUGGUGCUGAUGAGUUCCUUCCUGUUCUCAUUUACAUUACUACCAAGGCAAGCUUCUCUUUUUAAUUACCAAUUGUUAUAUUUCUUUGCUUUGUCAGGUUCUAGCUGGUUGGAUAUGCUUCUUAGCUGGUUCGAUUUUUAUUAUCAUGUAAUCUCGAGAUUUUUUUAUACAGCUCUAUCUGAAAGAGAUGCAUACUCUGGUUUAUGCCAUGACGAUGGACCAGAAAGAAAGCAUGCCUCAACGCAUGUAGUACUGGCGGAAGAUGGGGCUGAGUCAAUAUAAAGGUUGGAAGGAAGAUGUUAUUAUGUUAUUCUUCUAUUUAAGCGAAUGUUGGCUAUUGAAUUAACUUAUGUACCUUGAAUAGGAGAGUAGCUCAAAAUUUCUUUUGUAACUCUUUUGAAAGAUUGUACUGUUUUGAUAUUUGAUCAUGGAAUGGAAGACAUCUUUAUUAUUACAAGAUAAAGA